UCUACCCCGUUGAGUGGCAUUCUUGUGAAAAUUAUGUAAAUAUAUUUAUCAGAAUAAGGGAGAAGUGUAGGGGGCGGCUGGUGAGGUGCAGAAGAAGAAUAAGAAGAAGUUGUACCUAUCCAGUAAUUUUAUCUUGAUUUGUGGAUUAGACGCAGACUAGAUUUUGAUAAAGAAAUCGACAAACUUGAACUGCAGGACUCGUGGCGCUGCUCGCCUCCUCGCCAAUGCGAACGCGUUCUCUGAGGACAACCCGCCCAAGGCUAGUAUGGCGAAGCCACGCCACCGCGCCGGCUAUAGACUCACGGCCUGAAGCGAGUUUGGGCGCGACGGCUGGCGAGCCAAGGCGGCGGAAAGUCGUCUGGCGGAGCUCCCGUCUGAGGCGAGCUUGAUCUGGUCAGACAGCUCCGCCACCGAUGGUGUGCUAGAUGGAGGAGGAGGGGCCACCCCCCCCCCGAACCGCGACAUCCGGGAGGUGCGUGUCGCGGCAGGCGCCCUCUGCUCUAGCACGCGCGGCGAGCUAUUCGCCCUAAGAGCGGUGUUGGAGGAGCUGUUGACCAAGACUGGUCGCGACACCUCUCUUCCGAUAAUUAUCGUCUGUACCGACUCGAUGGCGGCGCUGGCCCUCCUGCGGAGCGGCGCGGCGGCCCAGAGAGCCCCUCUGGCCGCAGACAUAUGGGGGCUGCUGGCCGCGCUCACCGAGGGGACCAGCCAGUGAUAAUGCAGUGGGUUCCUGCACACUGCGGGCUUCCGGGCAACGAGCGGAUGGACGCCCUCGCGCGCGAGGCUGGCGCCCUAUCCCAACGGUAGCGCCGUCCGCCGAUCGACGUGGGCAGCACUAUCCGCGAGGCAGGCGCGCGCCUGGCGGCGGAGCUGGCCGGACGGAUGGUACCGGUCGAUAUGGGUCGACCGCUGUCCCGGCUCCGUCCUGGAGGCCGACCGUGCAGUCGUUAUCUACAUCCGCCAGUACCUGCUCUGCAUCGGCUGCCUCCCGAGGCCGGAUGCGCACAAUGCAACGACGUGGAGUGCCCUGCUGCCCGAUGCCGCGUCUGCCGCGAAGAGGCUGGCACUCCACGGUAUGUGCUGCUGCGAUGCCCGGCGCUGGCGGCGUUGCGACAAAGAGCCUCGGCAGCUGAACUGCUUCAAGCGACGUAACGAUAUCUGCCCUCCCCUCCCCUAUCGAGCCGCGUGGGUGUGGACGGACGGGUCGGCAGACGCGAGAACCUGCAGUGAAGGAGCUGGGGUCUACGGGGAGUAGCAGGACGAAUGGACUGAUGAGCCGCGUGUCCCGGCCGGUCCAUUCUGCUGUUCCAGCUCCAGGACCGGCCGCGCCGUCGCCACCCGUCCGGCGUCAGUGGAGGACCGCUCAUCAGCUGUCGAUUUUCAUCAGUUUCGUUUGGACCACUGGUCGGGCUCCUGCCAGUGCUGACAUUGGGUUGGGCGGAGUCCUACCGAUGAAUGCCGCGAGUGCUGCAACAUUGGCUCGGUACAUCUCGGUACAUUUUCUCGAGUCUGGUGUGGCUACGGGGAGACGGAUUUGGUGACCCUGGCUGCCGCCGUGAAAACCAUCCAGAACCGUACGGCUAUGCUGCGGCAGCGGCUGAAAGGAACACAACAACAAUAACUUCAACAGCAGCUGCUAAUGAAAGGGGAAAUCAUGGAGCCGGAUGACCCGGCACAUGGCGCUCAGCCAGCUGAGAAUGAGAGCAGCUUUCAAAUCGCCAGCAGGGUGCUGCGGCUGGUAACUGACGACCUUGGUAGAGAGAGCGCCUCCGCUGAUGCGGAUGAAACUACCCCCUCUCGGGUUUGUUUGACGCCGUCUCCGUCGACUCUUUCGCCUGGGCCGGCUGGCGACCGCGCUACAUUUCUUGUGCAGUGACUCGUAACUGUGUUCACCAAACUUUUAAAACUCCCCACGUUAGCAUCUUUAAAGAAUGUUUUCCUUGUACACUGCUGCAAUGUCUUAUGUAGGCAUGUUGUACAGUCUAAACGAGUGUGGAAUGCUUUGUUGUGCUUGUUCUGUAUUUCGUUUGCUAUUUAUCGCGGUGACUAUAAUUUAUUUUGACCAACCCUUGCCUUGUUACAAUUUUAGUGGAUGGUUUCUGAACUGCUGUUUGCAUUAUAGAUGUUGCUAGUGCGUAGACGCCAAAGAUUACUUUAUACCUAUUGACGCGCCAGAUAAAGGAGGUGAAGUAUUCCUCUGAUCUAUACCUACGGAAUUCCUUUAUGUGUGUUUUGUAAUCGAUAUUGGCGGUUUUCUUAUGUGAUGCGGUGUGGAGCGUGGCUGAGGAAGGCGAUGUUUAAAGUUACUAGUCAUUUUUCAAUACAUCUAUGAUCGGACUGUC
rnacentral:lncRNA from 1 species